rnacentral:lncRNA from 1 species
AAUGCCAUCUCUAGGCAAUUGGAAGAGAAGAAGGUUAUCAGGAGUAGCCAGCAUGGGUUCACGAGGGGAAGGUCAUGCUCAACCAUCCUGGUAGCCUUCUAUGAUGUCAUCACUAGCUAGGUGGAUUAGAGGAGAGCAGUGGAUGCAGUCUACCUUAAUUUCAGCAAGGCAUUUGACACCAUCUCCCACAACAUCCUUAUAACAAAUCUGAGUUGGAAAUCAAUUCCACACCUUUGCUUCGUAUGCAUUUCUAUGUGAGAUGCCAUUUUGUCCAUCUGUCCCUCUGCUGCUUAAUAUCACUGAGCAACAAAACUUAACAGAAUACUGGAGGGAAGCUGCAGCCUCUACAGCUAUAUCACCAAUGUCUGCCUCUGACAUCGUGGACCAAAAUAAUAAAAUAGGAGGUAUUACUUUU